rnacentral:lncRNA from 1 species
AGGAGGAUCGCUUGAGCCUGGGAGGUUGAGGCUGUAGUGAGCCGAGAUAGUGCCACUGCACUCCAGUCUGGGCAACAGAGUGAGACCCUGUCUCAAAAAAACAAAAAAUAGAGAAAUAGAGAUGCCCCUUGAACCCAUGGGUUUUUGGGACUACAUUCUGGAAGCUUUCAGAGUCAGACCAGAGUUUGAAAGAGGCAUUGUGUCACUAGCCGUGUGCCCGUGGGCAAGUCACAGUAGAGUCUACUUCCCACGGCACUUGUGAGACUCAUCUGGGAUUAUGUGUGUCCAUGCCUUGGCAGAGAGCUUGGUGAAGAAUGUUAGUUGUCCAAUAAAUGGUACCCCAUUAAGUUGGUGUGCAGGGUGGCCACAGGGCCAGACCACCCUGAAAAUAAAGGCUUAUAUUUGGGCUGAGCCUGGAUGCACCUGAGAUUACAAGCAGGUGCUUAGAAUGUGGUGAAAAAGAAAGACAGGAGAGAAUGGCUGAAGGCAGCAUGCAGUCCACCUGACUUUCUGGGAAGAUUGGGCAUUUGCAGGGCUGAUAAGUCAGGUUCUUCCGGGCCUUUCUGUGAGCUCAUUAGAGGAAGGGGUCUGGUGACUGAUAUUUCUAUUUUCCCUGUUAGUAGCGACUGGAAUUUGCACCAUCCAGGUCAGAUGGAAAAUAGAAGGCGGGAAAAUCUGACAGUCUCAUUGAUUUGCUCUCUUUGCCAUCACCACUCUUGAGAGGAAGAAAUGUGACUUCAAACUUGCAAUUAGGAACCAGCCUGCUAAGGAGUCCUCUCGUGAGCUCCUGUGCUAUGCGGAGCACAGGCCCAUCUCAUCUCAUUUCCUAAGGAGGAUGCUUUUAUCUGUGAGAAAUACGACCCCCUGCUCACACUGGCUUAAGGAAAUUGGCAAGAGGUAGAUUAUGGCUCCAUUAUAUUAACAGGAAGCCAGUUUGCUCUGCCUUCUUACUCUUCGCUUCGUUUUCGGCAUAAUCUCAUCCUCAAGGUGUUUUAUCUUAUGAUUUCAAGAGGACCACAAAUGGCGAGUGGAACUAAUUGCUUCUUUGUCCACAUUCCACAAGGAAGAGAAUAAUAGAAAACUUUUCAUUGACCCAUGUAAUCUAAGUCAUACCCUUCAGUUUCCAGGGGCCACGUCCAUGAAGCAGGAGGCAUCUGCAGUGAAUGCCAUGCCCUGACGCCUUACUGAGCACUCCUAGUAGGACAAAAUGAGUACUGUAUGGGGAGGAGGCAACCUCAAACAACCACCAUGCUUACUGCCAAGCCUAUAGGAUAUUUUUAAAUUCAUUUUUUAAUUUGCAUAUAAUAAAAUGCAUUUUUUUGGGAUGCAGUUUUCUGAGUUUUGCCAAAUGCACAAAAUCACAUAACUACCACUGCCAUCAAGAUUUGGAACAGUGGCUAGGUGUGGUGGUGGCUUACACCUGUAAUCCCAGCACAUUGGGAGGCUGAGGCAGGAGCAUCGCUUGAGCCCAGGACUUCAAGAUCAGCUUGAGCAACAUAGUGAGACCCCAUCUUUACAAAAAACUUUUUAAAAAUUAGCUGGGCAUGGUGGCAUGUGCCUGUAGCCCCAGCUACUUGGAAGGCUAAGGCAGGAGGAUCACUUGAACCUGGGAGGUUGAGGCUGCAGUGUGCUGUGAUUGCACCGCUGUACUCCAGCCUGGGUGACAGAGGAAAACCCCAUCUCAAAAAUUUUUUUUAAAAGAUUUAGAGUCGUUUUCUUUUUUUUCUUUUUUUUUUUUGGACAGAGUUUGGCUCUUGUCGCCGGGGCUGGAAUGCAAUAGUACAAUCUUGGCUCACUGCAACCUCCACCUCCCAGGUUCAAGUGAUUCUUCUGCCUCAGCCUCCCGAGUGGCUGGGACUACAGGUGCCCAGCACCACACCUGGCUUUUUUUUUUUUUUUUUUUUUUUUUUUUUUUUUUUUUUUUAGUAGAGGCAGGGUUUCACCAUGUUGACAGGCUGGUCUCGAACUCCUAACCUCAGGUGAUCCACCCUUUUUGACCUCCCAAAGUGCUGUGAUUAUAGGCAUGAGCCACCGUGCCUGGCCUAGAAUAGUUUUCUUACUCCCCCAAAACUGCUUUAUGCUGCCUUUUUGUAGUCAAACUAUCUGCCUGCCCUUAACCCCAGCUCCCCCGCAUUAGAAACCACUGAACCUCUGAUCUGUUCUUCACCUUAAAGCUUUCCCUUUUCCAGGGUGUAGCGUAUGUGGAAUUAUAGAGUAUGUCACCUUUCAAGUCUGGCUUCUUUCAUCUAGUGUAAUGCAUUUGAGAUUUAUCUAUGUUGUCGGAUGUAUCAGUAAGUUUGUGUCUUAGCAGUGCUGAGAAGUAUUCCUUUGCAUGGAUGUACCCAGAUCUGUUUAUCCAUUCAUCAGUUAGAGGACAACUGGGUUGUUUCCAGUUUGGGGUGAUUACAAAUAAAGCCACGAUGUACAAGCACCUCUAGGUUUUGGGUGAACAUAAGUUUUCAUUUCUCUUAAGUUUCAAUACCUAGGAGAAUGAUUGCUAGGUCAAUGGUAAGAGCGUGUAUAAUGCUACAAGAAAGUGCUAAACUGUUUUCCAAAGUGAGUGUAGCAUUUUGUAUCCCCGCUAGCAAUGAAAUGAGAGCUCCGCUUGCUCUGUAAGAGGCAUUAGUGAAUAUGAAAGUGCUUUGUAAAGACUAAGGGUGUCUCACAGUGUGCCCAGGCGGGAGGAUUCAGAGGGGGCAUUUCUAAACUCUAAACUCCUGUGGGCUCCUAGCCCAUCCUUCUGAAUGGGGACAGAAUACUUCCAUUUCCAGGUUACUUGCUUCUCCAAAAGGGAGACAGGGAAGUAUCCUUCUCUUUUUGCAAAUGAGGGCACAGCACUGCCUCUCGUGGUUGAGCCAGUCAUUAUUCAGUAGGAACAGCAGUGAGAUUCUCCAGCCUUCUAUUUUAUUCCUGGGGUCACAGAGUAAAAUGCAGCGUGAUCAUUUGGAGCAUUCUUAUGCUUUGUGACAAGAACAAAGCCAGUGGAAACAGCCAUGUGUCCAAUCAGAAUGUCAGAGCUGGCAGGGACCUUAGCAAUUGUCACUUUACAGAUGAUAACCUAUUACAUCCCCAGGUCCCCAGAAUCCCAGCCCAGGACUCACUCCCUCAGCCUUCCUGGAUUGUCCUGGGUGGAACAAGAUCAGCUCAUUUAGCACAUAGUCUUCCAGAACACAAGGCAGUGUCCCACCAAGGUUGGAUGGGACCAGCUUCUCUAUCCACAGUAGCUGUGCACACAGAGACAGAAAUGAAGCCGUACUGCCGGGUGCACCGUGGCCAGAGAUCCUCCUUCCUGGUAUAUACUCCCGGAGCCAUUGCUUCUUUCAUUUCAGUGCCCAUUUCUGAGGCACCUUCACAUUUCAAACGUCCUGAGAAUAUGUUUAAUUAGAACUUGGCCAUACAGCCUUUUAAAACAAAACAGAAGGGACCAGCUAAUUAUAUCACUCAGCAUUCUGUGGCAAACAUAUAUUUUUUAAUAAAACACUUUCCUAACCAGAGUAAUCCCUGGAGAUGCAAAUCCUCAUUUAUAAGAAGUUUCCCAAAGGGAGUUAAAGAGAAGAUGCCUUAUAAAGAAAAGAGACAAAGAGAGUGGGGAAGUGUUUUCAAAGAGCUUUUAAAAGAUACACUCAUUCUGAGGUUGAAUUACAGAUAUUUUAAGGGUACCAAAUUUUAUUUCAGAUGUAAUCCUUUCCUGUGUUUUUGAUCAUGUAUUUCCGUUUUUUCCCUUUUUGAUCAUUGCCACAAAUGCCCAUAUUUCUCUUUCUGGUGUCUUUCAUAAGUGCAAUAUUUAAAUAAACAAGGGAUUUUCCCAAAAUGCACCUCAUCUCCUACUCUUUGUCAUUUCCUUGUCUUGCUCUGUAAAUAACCGUGUGUCUCACAGCAGAGCUUACACAGAAUGGAUGUGGGGCAGUCUGUGGUCCUGGGGAGGGCCUUCCCUGUAAUCUCUGCAGCCCAGGACAGGGAGAGGGAAGAUUUAGAUCCUGCUGCGGCAUGUCUUCAGGAGUGGAGGUCAGCUUGGGACAUUUACGUUCAUGAGGCAGCCGCAGAGGGUCAGAGCAAUAAUUGUGCCAGCUGAUGUUUGCUGCGGGGUUUACUCCAAGCCAGGCCACACGCUAAGAAAUUAGGUAUCGUACCUCAUUUAAUCCUCACAAUCCUCACAAAAUGUAGUUGUUUUGCUCCAUUUUGCAGAUGAAGAAGACGAGGCUUGAGAGACGAAGGAAUGAAUGAAGGGUCUCACAGCUGUUAGAAGGGUUAGAUCUUGUAUUUGGACUCAGGUCUGCCUGCCCUGGAACUUGACUCUCCCACACCUGGUGCUGGGCACACUAGGAGACGUCACAAGGCUCAGAGAUGCCACCCUUCCUAGAACGGGCGCCGUGCCUCUCUUCUCCACACACUGCAGGGGAGACAGGCACUGUGUUUUCAGAUAAGUUCCAUGUGCAUCAGGGGCUCGGUGGGAAAGGGAGGACACACUCAGAUUAGGAUUAUUCAUGGAGGAUUCUCCAAAGAGGCUAUUUGGAAAGACGGAGGGAAUGGUGAAGGAAAGCACAAGAGAAAAUGGACAGAACCGUUACUUCCUCACGCCUGAAGGGGAUGGGUUACUGGAAGCCAGGAGGAGAGUGUGAUAAGAGCCACUUUUAGAGGAGCUUUCACCUUCAGGAGAAAGUCAGGGCCCAAGAAGACCCACAGGGAGGUGACCAGGGAAUGGCAUACUUGGACUACCCUCUCUUCUGUUCCUCCACUCUCCUGCCAGGGCUCCACAUUGGAUAAACCCCUGCAGGGGCGAGUGAAACUGCCACCCAGGUUUGCCUCCCAGGGCACAGCCCAUGGAGAGCUCUAAGGCAAGUGGCAGAAAACUAGCACAGGUGCAGUGCGUCUUGCAAAGCACCCAGCCUAUGCCGGCCCUGGGCUAGAAAUGGGAAGAGAGGAGACCAUGGCACUGCCCUCAAAGAUCUUAGAGUCUGUGGAGGAGUCAGGCAGAGAGAGGGGGUGUUCCCUUGGCAAAGGACUCCAUGAGCAGAUGCAGGCCAUGGGCGACGCUCCUGCAGAAGCUUUGGGGUUUGCCGCAUGUGCCUGGAAGGAGCGCGCCCACCUUGACAUGCCUCGCCUCCUGUUGCCAUUGACAACGUGAAGGCAAACUCCUGGGGCUGGGCCUUUUUCCUUGAGAUAAAAUAUGUAUAAUUCUCUGUUAUCAAAUGAUUAUUAAACAAAAUCUAAUUGAAAAAAUAGAAAGAAGAAAAGAUAAGUCAUUUAUCAUCCUGUUCUCCAAAGACAACUGUGAACAGCUUGGUGGAACUCCUUCCAGUGGCUUUCCUUGGAGCUUUGCCUCUGUGGAUGUGGUAAGAGUCGGAUGCGAUUUUGAAUUUUGAGAUUUUGAUUGAGCAUUGUUGUAGUAUUUUGCCAUGUUAUGAUAAAUCAUUGGCAAACAUAGUUUUUGACGGCUGCAUAAUAUUCUGCAUAAUAUUCAUAAUAAUGAAUGCUAGUAUAGUUCAUAUUAUAAUUCUUCUACUGUAUUUAUUUAUUUAUUUAUUUUUGAGAUAGAGUCUUGCUUUGUCACCGAGGCUGGAAUGCAGUGGCGCGAUCUCAGCUCACUGCAACCUCCACCUCCUGAGUUCAAGCUGUCCUCCCACCUCAGCCUCCUUCAAUAGCUGUGACUACAGGUAUUCGCCACCAUGCUGGACUAAUUUUUGCAUUUUUUAGUAGAG